GGGUUAGGUUGUGGCUCCCUGCGUGUGUCUAUAACUUUGUGUUGCCGCCGCUGGUUGUUAGGAGAAGGAAUGUGGAAGUCAGCAGAGCGGAGGGCGGCGGGCUGCUCGCGCGAGCUGCAGAGGCGCCCUUCGUCCCCGCCAGUGGCGCCUCCUCCUCCUGCGCUUCUUCCAGGCAGGGGGAUCAUCCGCGUCGCUUUGUUUUAAAGGCUUCUUCCUCUGCCUAAGGCGAGACGAGCUGGAGGGAACCGUGCUAGCAGGAGCCAUACAGCAAGAGCAGCAGCAGCAGCAACGCUGCGUCUUCCUAUUCCUCCUGUGAAUUCCGACCUGGAUUUUCCGCCGUCCGAGCUGCUCGCUGCUGCUUGGAACCUGCCGCCCGCCCGCUCGCUCGCUCGCUCUCUCCUUCGUCCCUCCCUCCCUCCCUCCCUCUCUCCCUCCGCCUGCGUGACCUCCCGCUCUGCCUUUUCGCCAAGGCUUGUUUAAAUGACUUGAGUGAAAGAGGGGAAACUGUCAAGAUGGCAGCAGCAGGAGCGAGGAGGUGAUGAGCGGGGUGGUGUGGAUGCUGGAACGAAAACCUUGGCAGCCCUAAAGGACGAGGACUCCGGGCUUCUGGACCUGUUGGAAGACCGGCGAUUUGACUUGUCUUUGCUCUCUUUCCCUCUCUCUUUCCCCCACGUUGAAGAUUCGGAUUUUUUUUAAAGCACAGCAGAGCGUGAGUUUCCCGGUGUUGUUGUUUCCCCCCUCUGCGCCCCCUUUUUGGGUUUUUGUUUUUGCUUUUUGGGGGGCGAAGAGGAACGGAGCAGGCGCGAUCGGGUGCGUUUUAAGACUUCAGUUUCCCAGCUAAGCUGUUUCGAAGUCAGCGGCGGAGAAGGACUCCUGGAGCCGAACAGAAAGCGCCCGCCAAAUCAACAAGCAAGAAGAGACUCGUGGCUCCCUCUUUAUUUUUAGGCGUGCGGAGGGGGAGAGAGCCCGCGGGAAGUGGUCUCUUUAAUACAUACCGCGAGAUGCUAUUGGAGCAAUCCUGCACGGGGUGAAAGAUAAACAAACACACGGGCGCGCCGCCGCGGAGAUUUGCUUUCCCACUCUGCAAGGGUUGGGUGUUAUUUUUUUUGGGGGGGGGGGCUGUUUCUUGCAAAAUCGGCGCCCCUCAGGAUCCCGAGGAAGAGGACGCACCUGGAGCCGGCUUGACCACCUGAUCGUUUCUUUUUCCCGAUUGAUUUUAUUGGUUGUUGUUGCUGGCGGUAGGGAAGGAGAGGUGGCGGGGUGAAAAGGAGGCGGCCGGACCUUUAAUGGAGCGUGGCAUGUUUGUACAACCUCGCUGAUCGCUGCUACUAGGAGGUGCGAGAGGAGGAGGCGGAGGAGGAGGAGGGACGGCCGAGGUGUGGAUCGGGCUCCUCUUCCCUGACAUCCCCACUUGGCAGCGGAUCGGCAGGCAGGCAGAGCAGCCUCCAGAGCGGGGGAGAGGCCAAGAUGGCAGAGGCGUCUCCCCCCGCCCCCUUGUCCCCCGUGGACGUGGACCUGGACCCCGAGUUCGAGCCCCAGAGCCGCCCGCGCUCCUGUACGUGGCCCCUGCAGAGGCCUGAGCUGCAGGCGAGCCCGGCCAAGCCCGCGGGGGAAGCGGGCGCCGACGCCGCCUCCAUGAUCCCCGAGGAGGACGACGACGUCGACGACGAGGAGCAAGGGGGCAGCUCGGCCAUGGCCGUCGGAGACGCCGUCCCUAGCGGCGGCGGCGGAGAGGCGCUGGCCCCGGAGGACACGGCCCGCCUGCUGGCGCCUUUCUCGGGGCUGUCCGGCGACGGGUCCGGCCAGGGCGCCAGGGCGCCGAGCGGAGGGCAGCAGCCGCAGCAGCCGGGGGCGAGCGGGGCGGCGGCGGCGCCGAGGAAAUGCUCGUCCCGCCGAAACGCGUGGGGGAACUUGUCCUACGCGGACCUGAUCACUCGCGCCAUCGAGAGCUCCCCGGAGAAGCGCCUCACCCUCUCGCAGAUCUACGAGUGGAUGGUGCGCUGCGUGCCCUACUUCAAGGAUAAGGGCGACAGCAACAGCUCGGCCGGCUGGAAGAACUCGAUCAGGCACAACUUGUCUCUUCAUAGUCGAUUCAUCCGGGUACAGAAUGAAGGAACUGGGAAAAGUUCGUGGUGGAUGAUCAACCCUGACGGUGGAAAAGGUGGGAAAGCGCCACGGAGACGUGCUGUUUCGAUGGAUAACAGCAACAAGUACACCAAGAGCCGAGGACGAGCAGCUAAGAAGAAGGCAGCACUGCAAGCUGCCCAGGAAACAAGCGAAGACAGCCCCUCCCAGCUCUCCAAGUGGCCAGGUAGCCCAACCUCACGCAGCAGCGAUGAGCUAGACGCCUGGACAGAUUUCCGGUCUCGUACAAAUUCAAAUGCCAGUACAAUAAGUGGCCGCUUGUCACCAAUACUGGCCAGCACUGAGCUAGAUGAGGUUCAGGAUGAUGAUGCUCCACUUUCCCCUAUGCUGUAUAGCAGUCCACCCAGCAUGUCUCCCUCAGUAAAUAAACCUGGCAAUGUUGAGCUGCCAAGGUUGACUGAUAUGGCGGGCACCAUGAACUUGAACGAUGGUCUGACAGACAAUCUUAUGGAUGAUCUUUUGGACAAUAUAACCCUCCCCUCUUCCCAGCAGUCGCCCACAGGGGGACUCAUGCAAAGAAGCUCAAGUUUUCCAUACGGCUCCAAAGGUUCAGGUCUUGGUUCUCCAUCGAAUAGUUUCAACAACGCUGUGUUUGGACCAUCAUCUCUGAAUUCCCUCCGUCAGUCUCCCAUGCAAACCAUCCAAGAGAACAAGCAAGCUACAUUUUCUUCCAUUUCGCAUUACAAUAACCAAACACUGCAGGAUCUGCUGGCUUCGGAUUCGCAUAGCCACAGCGAUGUCAUGAUGACUCAGUCCGAUCCACUCAUGUCACAAGCUAGCACAGCUGUGUCUGCCCAUAACGUACGCAGGAAUAUUAUGCUGCGGAAUGAUCCCAUGAUGUCGUUUGCUGCCCAGCCAAGCCAGGGGAGUUUGGUCAACCAGAAUCUGCUCCACCACCAGCACCAGUCCCAGAAUUCCUCUCUCGGUGGCAGUCGUGCCUUGUCGAAUUCCGUCGGUACUAUGGGCUUAAGUGACACAAGCAACGUUGGGUCGACAAAACACCAGCAACAGUCACCUGCCAACCAGUCUAUGCAAUCGCUUUCUGACUCACUCUCAGGCUCUUCUUUGUACUCCAGCAGCGUGAGCCUUCCAGUCAUGGGGCAUGAUAAAUUCCCCAGUGAUUUGGACCUGGAUAUUUUCAACGGGAGCUUGGAAUGUGAUAUGGAGUCCAUUAUCCGCAGCGAACUCAUGGAUGCAGAUGGGUUGGAUUUUAACUUUGAUUCCCUCAUCUCAGCCCAGAAUGUUGUCACUCUGAAUGUGGGAAACUUCACUGGUGCUAAGCAAGCUUCGUCACAGAGUUGGGUUCCAGGCUGAAGGAUUUAUGCAAAGAGGGGGAAAUGGGCAAAGCAGAUCUGCUUCCACAUUCUCUCAUGUCACCUGUAGCACAACAGAGAAAUUCUGAACAAUUGACACUUGAAAGCCACAACAGAAGAUGGCCCUUCAUCUGACACGAGAGCUAGAGGGGGGGAAAACUUUGCCAAAUCAACUGUCAGCAAGGACAGGGAUACCGUUUACAGCUUAUA